AAGAUAUCGGGGGUAAAAAGUGAGCCUGUAUUUUCUCUUCCUUCUUCUUCUCCCAAGCUCAAGACUUCGCACAUCAAACUCAGACCAAAUCACCAAAUCUAGCAGAAGAAGUGGAUAGCUCAUUCAACUGGAUUUUUAUCGAAACCCUUUGUACCUGCAACUGCAUCUAAAGAGGAAUUACAAAAUCAAACCAUACUCUGGAUUUUGAGCAAUCCAUCUAAGUUGCUGCUGGAUUGACCUUGGAACAAGCUUUAUCAGCUGAAAAAGCCUAUUCAAACAGAAGAAAAAGACAUCCCAAUGGAUUUAUUGGGCGUUUAACCACUGUAGCAUCUCCAGAUGGAAUGCAGGAAGAGCGGUAGUGAGGGAAAGGAUGAGAAGAAGGCCGAGACAUCGGUGAAGGAGAAGUUUGAGGAUUUGCGCAUCAUCUCGUAAAUCUAGCAUAGUUGAAGACGAAGUUGGAAAAGGAGAAUAUCAUGUUUGGCUCGAGUAAGUGUUUCCAAGGAUGAAAUUAUACAUUGUCCGGUGCCCUAAAUAGAGAUAUCAGAUAGCAAAGGAGAACCAUUUACUUUUAAUGUCUCUGUUAAUUACGCGAAGCCACAAAAUGUGGUAACCUUUUAUUUAUUUAUUAUAUUUUUUUUUCUUUCUUUUCUUCUUCUUUUUUUGUCUCCAGU